UUGGAGGGCAAGUCUGGUGCCAGCAGCCGCGGUAAUUCCAGCUCCAAUAGCGUAUAUUAAAGUUGUUGCAGUUAAAAAGCUCGUAGUUGAAUUUCGGGGUUCUACCGUUGGUCGGGCUUUGUCUGUACUGGUGUGUAGAAUUUCUACCUUCUGGGGAACCAUCAUGCUAUUAAUUUAGCGUGGUGGGAAACCAGGACCUUUACCUUGAAAAAAUUAGUGUGUUCAAAGCAGGCUUAUGUCUGAAUACAUUAGCGUGGAAUAAUAGAAUAGGACGGUGGUCCUGUUUUGUUGGUUUCUGAAUCACCGUAAUGAUUAAUAGGGAUAGUUGGGGGCAUUAGUAUUCAAUUGUCAGAGGUGAAAUUCUUGGUUUUAUUGAAGACUAACUUCUGCGAAAGCAUUUGCCAAGGAUGUUUUCAUUAAUCAAGAACGAAAGUUAGGGGAUCGAAGACGAUCAGAUACCGUCGUAGUCUUAACCAUAAACUAUGCCGACUAGGGAUCGGAUGAUGUUAAUUUUUCUUGACUCGUUCGGCGCCUUACGGGAAAC
rnacentral:rRNA from 1 species